CUCAGGAUGAACGCUAGCUACAGGCUUAACACAUGCAAGUCGAGGGGCAGCAUUUUAGUUUGCUUGCAAACUGAAGAUGGCGACCGGCGCACGGGUGAGUAACACGUAUCCAACCUGCCGAUAACUCCGGAAUAGCCUUUCGAAAGAAAGAUUAAUACCGGAUAGCAUACGAAUAUCGCAUGAUAUUUUUAUUAAAGAAUUUCGGUUAUCGAUGGGGAUGCGUUCCAUUAGUUUGUUGGCGGGGUAACGGCCCACCAAGACAACGAUGGAUAGGGGUUCUGAGAGGAAGGUCCCCCACAUUGGAACUGAGACACGGUCCAAACUCCUACGGGAGGCAGCAGUGAGGAAUAUUGGUCAAUGGGCGAGAGCCUGAACCAGCCAAGUAGCGUGAAGGAUGAAGGCUCUAUGGGUCGUAAACUUCUUUUAUAUGGGAAUAAAGUUUUCCACGUGUGGAAUUUUGUAUGUACCAUAUGAAUAAGGAUCGGCUAACUCCGUGCCAGCAGCCGCGGUAAUACGGAGGAUCCGAGCGUUAUCCGGAUUUAUUGGGUUUAAAGGGAGCGUAGGUGGAUUGUUAAGUCAGUUGUGAAAGUUUGCGGCUCAACCGUAAAAUUGCGGUUGAAACUGGCAGUCUUGAGUACAGUAGAGGUGGGCGGAAUUCGUGGUGUAGCGGUGAAAUGCUUAGAUAUCACGAAGAACUCCGAUUGCGAAGGCAGCUCACUAGACUGUCACUGACACUGAUGCUCGAAAGUGUGGGUAUCAAACAGGAUUAGAUACCCUGGUAGUCCACACAGUAAACGAUGAAUACUCGCUGUUUGCGAUAUACAGUAAGCGGCCAAGCGAAAGCAUUAAGUAUUCCACCUGGGGAGUACGCCGGCAACGGUGAAACUCAAAGGAAUUGACGGGGGCCCGCACAAGCGGAGGAACAUGUGGUUUAAUUCGAUGAUACGCGAGGAACCUUACCCGGGCUUAAAUUGCAACAGAAUAUAUUGGAAACAGUAUAGCCGUAAGGCUGUUGUGAAGGUGCUGCAUGGUUGUCGUCAGCUCGUGCCGUGAGGUGUCGGCUUAAGUGCCAUAACGAGCGCAACCCUUAUCUUUAGUUACUAACAGGUGAUGCUGAGGACUCUAGAGAGACUGCCGUCGUAAGAUGUGAGGAAGGUGGGGAUGACGUCAAAUCAGCACGGCCCUUACGUCCGGGGCUACACACGUGUUACAAUGGGGGGUACAGAAGGCGGCUACCUGGUGACAGGAUGCUAAUCCCAAAAACCUCUCUCAGUUCGGAUCGAAGUCUGCAACCCGACUUCGUGAAGCUGGAUUCGCUAGUAAUCGCGCAUCAGCCAUGGCGCGGUGAAUACGUUCCCGGGCCUUGUACACACCGCCCGUCAAGCCAUGAAAGCCGGGGGUACCUGAAGUACGUAACCGCAAGGAGCGUCCUAGGGUAAAACUGGUAA
rnacentral:rRNA from 1 species